rnacentral:rRNA from 1 species
GACGAACGCUGGCGGCGUGCUUAAUACAUGCAAGUCGAACGCAGUGGGGACGGGUGAGUAACACGUGGGUAACCUCCCAUCAGUGGGGAUAACACUUGGAAACAGGUGCUAAACCGCUACUGAUGGAUGGAUCCGCGGUGCAUUAGCUAGUUGGUGCGGUCACGGCUCACCAAGGCCACGAUGGAUAGCCUACCAGAGAGGGGAAUCAGCAACACUGGGACUGAGACACGGCCCAGACUCCACCGUGCGGCAGCAGUAGGGAAUCUUCGGCAAUGGUGGGAAGUCGGAACGAGCAACGCCGCGUGAGUGACGAAGGUUUUCGGAUCGUAAACCGCUGUUGUUAGGGAAGCGGUAUCUGACCAGGAGGCAACGGCUAACUACGUGCCAGCAGCCGCGGUAAUUC